rnacentral:rRNA from 1 species
GGUUAAGUUAGAAAGGGCGCACGGUGGAUGCCUUGACACUAGGAGUCGAUGAAGGACGGGACUAACGCCGAUAUGCUUCGGGGAGCUGUAAGUAAGCUUUGAUCCGAAGAUUUCCGAAUGGGGAAACCCACCAUACGUAAUGGUAUGGUAUCCUUAUCUGAAUACAUAGGGUAAGGAAGACAGACCCAGGGAACUGAAACAUCUAAGUACCUGGAGGAAGAGAAAGCAAAUGCGAUUUCCUGAGUAGCGGCGAGCGAAACGGAACAUAGCCCAAACCAAGAGGCUUGCCUCUUGGGGUUGUAGGACAUUCUAUACGGAGUUACAAAGGAACGAGGUAGACGAAGCGACCUGGAAAGGUCCGUCGUAGAGGGUAACAACCCCGUAGUCGAAACUUCGUUCUCUCUUGAAUGUAUCCUGAGUACGGCGGAACACGUGAAAUUCCGUCGGAAUCUGGGAGGACCAUCUCCCAAGGCUAAAUACUCCCUAGUGAUCGAUAGUGAACCAGUACCGUGAGGGAAAGGUGAAAAGCACCCCGGAAGGGGAGUGAAAGAGAUCCUGAAACCGUGUGCCUACAAAUAGUCAGAGCCCGUUAACGGGUGAUGGCGUGCCUUUUGUAGAAUGAACCGGCGAGUUACGAUCCCGUGCGAGGUUAAGCUGAAGAGGCGGAGCCGCAGCGAAAGCGAGUCUGAAUAGGGCGUUUAGUACGUGGUCGUAGACCCGAAACCAGGUGAUCUACCCAUGUCCAGGGUGAAGUUCAGGUAACACUGAAUGGAGGCCCGAACCCACGCACGUUGAAAAGUGCGGGGAUGAGGUGUGGGUAGCGGAGAAAUUCCAAUCGAACCUGGAGAUAGCUGGUUCUCCCCGAAAUAGCUUUAGGGCUAGCCUUAAGUGUAAGAGUCUUGGAGGUAGAGCACUGAUUGGACUAGGGGUCCUCAUCGGAUUACCGAAUUCAGUCAAACUCCGAAUGCCAAUGACUUAUCCUUAGGAGUCAGACUGCGAGUGAUAAGAUCCGUAGUCAAAAGGGAAACAGCCCAGACCGCCAGCUAAGGUCCCAAAGUGUGUAUUAAGUGGAAAAGGAUGUGGAGUUGCUUAGACAACUAGGAUGUUGGCUUAGAAGCAGCCACCAUUUAAAGAGUGCGUAAUAGCUCACUAGUCGAGUGACUCUGCGCCGAAAAUGUACCGGGGCUAAAUACACCACCGAAGCUGCGGAUUGAUACCGAAUGGUAUCAGUGGUAGGGGAGCGUUCUAAGGACAGUGAAGUCAGACCGGAAGGACUGGUGGAGUGCUUAGAAGUGAGAAUGCCGGUAUGAGUAGCGAAAGACGGGUGAGAAUCCCGUCCACCGAAUGCCUAAGGUUUCCUGAGGAAGGCUCGUCCGCUCAGGGUUAGUCAGGACCUAAGCCGAGGCCGACAGGCGUAGGCGAUGGACAACAGGUUGAUAUUCCUGUACCACCUCUUUAUCGUUUGAGCAAUGGAGGGACGCAGAAGGAUAGAAGAAGCGUGCGAUUGGUUGUGCACGUCCAAGCAGUUAGGCUGAUAAGUAGGCAAAUCCGCUUAUCGUAAAGGCUGAGCUGUGAUGGGGAAGCUCCUUAUGGAGCGAAGUCUUUGAUUCCCCGCUGCCAAGAAAAGCUUCUAGCGAGAUAAAAGGUGCCUGUACCGCAAACCGACACAGGUAGGCGAGGAGAGAAUCCUAAGGUGUGCGAGAGAACUCUGGUUAAGGAACUCGGCAAAAUGACCCCGUAACUUCGGGAGAAGGGGUGCUUUCUUAACGGAAAGCCGCAGUGAAUAGGCCCAAGCGACUGUUUAGCAAAAACACAGCUCUCUGCGAAGCCGUAAGGCGAAGUAUAGGGGGUGACACCUGCCCGGUGCUGGAAGGUUAAGGAGAGGGGUUAGCGUAAGCGAAGCUCUGAACUGAAGCCCCAGUAAACGGCGGCCGUAACUAUAACGGUCCUAAGGUAGCGAAAUUCCUUGUCGGGUAAGUUCCGACCCGCACGAAAGGUGUAACGAUUUGGGCACUGUCUCAACCAGAGACUCGGUGAAAUUAUAGUACCUGUGAAGAUGCAGGUUACCCGCGACAGGACGGAAAGACCCCGUGGAGCUUUACUGUAGCCUGAUAUUGAAUUUUGGUACAGUUUGUACAGGAUAGGCGGGAGCCUUUGAAACCGGAGCGCUAGCUUCGGUGGAGGCGCUGGUGGGAUACCGCCCUGACUGUAUUGAAAUUCUAACCUACGGGUCUUAUCGACCCGGGAGACAGUGUCAGGUGGGCAGUUUGACUGGGGCGGUCGCCUCCUAAAGUGUAACGGAGGCGCCCAAAGGUUCCCUCAGAAUGGUUGGAAAUCAUUCGUAGAGUGCAAAGGCAUAAGGGAGCUUGACUGCGAGACCUACAAGUCGAGCAGGGACGAAAGUCGGGCUUAGUGAUCCGGUGGUUCCGCAUGGAAGGGCCAUCGCUCAACGGAUAAAAGCUACCCCGGGGAUAACAGGCUUAUCUCCCCCAAGAGUCCACAUCGACGGGGAGGUUUGGCACCUCGAUGUCGGCUCAUCGCAUCCUGGGGCUGUAGUCGGUCCCAAGGGUUGGGCUGUUCGCCCAUUAAAGCGGUACGCGAGCUGGGUUCAGAACGUCGUGAGACAGUUCGGUCCCUAUCCGUCGUGGGCGUAGGAAAUUUGAGAGGAGCUGUCCUUAGUACGAGAGGACCGGGAUGGACGCACCGCUGGUGUACCAGUUGUUCUGCCAAGGGCAUAGCUGGGUAGCUAUGUGCGGAAGGGAUAAGUGCUGAAAGCAUCUAAGCAUGAAGCCCCCCUCAAGAUGAGAUUUCCCAUAGCGUAAGCUAGUAAGAUCCCUGAAAGAUGAUCAGGUUGAUAGGUUCGAGGUGGAAG